rnacentral:rRNA from 1 species
GAUGAACGCUGACAGAAUGCUUAACACAUGCAAGUCGAUGGGGAAGUGGUGCUUGCACCCUGGCAACCAUGGCGGACGGGUGAGUAACGCGUAAGGGACUUACCUGCAGGACUGGGAUAACAGGGGGAAACUCCGGACAAGACCGGAUAAUGUCAUGGAGCUGCAUGGCUUUAUGAUGAAAGGAGACGCCUGCGGAGAGCCUUGCGUCCUAUUAGCUAGUUGGUGAGGUAAUGGCUCACCAAAGCGAAGAUAGGUAGCCGGCCUGAGAGGGUGGACGGCCACAAGGGGACUGAGAUACGGCCCUUACUCCUACGGGAGGCAGCAGUGGGGAAUAUUGGACAAUGGGGGCAACCAUGAUCCAGCAAUUCUGUGUGCACGAAGAAGGUUUUCGGAUUGUAAAGUGCUUUCAGCAGGGAAGAAGUAAGUGACGGUACCUGCAGAAGAAGCGACGGCUAAAUACGUG